AAAAUUGGGGGGCCGAGGACUGAUCAGAUACCAUUCCUAGCCCCCGUCAUAAACUAUGCCGACUAGGGGUCGGACGAUGUUAUUUUUUGACUCGUUCGGCACCUUACGAGAAAUGGAUUGCCUUUGGGU
rnacentral:ncRNA from 1 species